UACGACUACAUAUCAGGCAUAUCAAUAAGCGGAGGAAAAGAAACUAACAAGGAUUCCCUUAGUAACGGCGAGUGAAGCGGGAAGAGCUCAAAUUUGAAAUCUUAAAGGGUUCUACCUUGACGAAUUGUAGUUUAAAGAAGUGUUUUCUGUUGGAGUUUCGGUAAAAGUUCUUUGGAAUAGGACAUCAUAGAGGGUGAGAAUCCCGUAUUUGACCGUUACUUUCCAGCUGUGUGAUACACUUUCAAAGAGUCGGAUUGUUUGGGAAUGCAGUCCAAGAUGGGUGGUAAAUUUCAUCUAAAGCUAGAUAUUGGCGAGAGACCGAUAGCGAACAAGUACCGUGAGGGAAAGAUGAAAAGAACUUUGAAAAGAGAGUUAAACAGUACGUGAAAUUGUCAAAAGGGAAGCGUUUGACACCAGUGUUGUUUUUCCGAAAAUCAAUUAAGAAGUGGCUUGAUUUUGUGUUGUAUUGACCUUAUCAGCUUUCUUCACUCUUUUUCGAGUCUUUCUUAAUGCACUUUUCGGUUAACAAGUCAACAUCAAUUUCUUUUGUUGUAAAAGGGUAUUUGGAAGGUGGCUUUCUUUUCGGAGAAAGUGUUUAUAGCCUUAUACCUCUACAAUCGGAGAGAUUGAGGUCUGCAGCGUAGAUCCUUCGGGGCUAGAUACACUUGUGCUAAGUUAUAGCUUUUCAUAGGACAACUUGUUGACUAUGUUUAGUCAUGUAGCUUACUCGCUUAUGCUAUUUUACCUACGCUUAGGAUGUUGAUCUACAGAGCGAGAGU
rnacentral:rRNA from 1 species